GUUGGCUUAGAAGCAGCCAUCAUUUAAAGAAAGCGUAAUAGCUCACUGGUCGAGUCGGCCUGCGCGGAAGAUGUAACGGGGCUAAACCAUGCACCGAAGCUGCGGCAGCGAACGUAUCACUUAAAGCGAUUCAGCGGGUUACGAUUGACGGAGCGAAGCGACGUCAAAGCGUAUACAAAGUCGAGUCGGUUUAAGGAUACGUUCGUUGGGUAGGGGAGCGUUCUGUAAGCCUGUGAAGGUGGCCUGUGAGGGUUGCUGGAGGUAUCAGAAGUGCGAAUGCUGACAUAAGUAACGAUAAAGCGGGUGAAAAGCCCGCUCGCCGGAAGACCAAGGGUUCCUGUCCAACGUUAAUCGGGGCAGGGUGAGUCGACCCCUAAGGCGAGGCCGAAAGGCGUAGUCGAUGGGAAACGGGUUAAUAUUCCCGUACUUGGUGUUACUGCGAAGGGGGGACGGAGAAGGCUAUGUUGGCCGGGCGACGGUUGUCCCGGUUUAAGCGUGUAGGUGUGUGUUCCAGGUAAAUCCGGUUCACUUUAACACUGAGGCGUGAUGACGAGGCACUACGGUGCUGAAGCAACAAAUGCCCUGCUUCCAGGAAAAGCCUCUAAGCAUCAGGUAACAUCAAAUCGUACCCCAAACCGACACAGGUGGUCAGGUAGAGA
rnacentral:rRNA from 1 species